GGAGGAAGAACUAACAAGGAUUCCCUUAGUAACGGCGAGUGAAGCGGGAUGAGCCCAGCACCGAAUCCUUCGGCCGCGUGGUCGACAGGAACUGUGGUGUUUGGGAGCGUCUCUGGGGCGCUGUCGCACUGUCCAAGUCCUCUUGAUCGGGGCCUUUCCCAUAGCGGGUGUUAGGCCUGUACGGCAGUGUGCGGCGUCGCUCUGGCGCUCUCUGGAGUCGGGUUGUUUGAGAAUGCAGCCCAAAGUGGGUGGUAAACUCCAUCUAAGGCUAAAUACGGGUCGAGUCCGAUAGCGAACAAGUACGGUGACGGAAAGUUGAAAAGCACUUUGAAGAGAGAGUUGGAAAGUACGUGAAACCGUUUACAGGUAAACGGACGGGACCGCAAGGUCGACGGUGGGAAUUCAGGCCGCAUUGGCCGUGACCGGGCGGGCGUUUGGCGACCCCUUGCUGGGCGUCGGCGUACGUCUCGUGUUGCGGCUGGCGGACGCACUUUCUCGCUCGUCGAGCGCUACGACCGCGUGCUGGGCAGUCAGAAGGGUGGCGUCGUAGGUGGCUUGUCGCUUCGGCGACAAGAGCUUAUAGGGCGCUGCUAGCUGGCCUGCUCGGGUGCGCGAGGAUCUCUGUUGUCGCAUUGGUGUGGCGGUGUGUCGCCGGCUGGCGUUCGACUGCCGAGGACUGCUUGCAGUGCUUGGCGACCGCGUCGGUCGGGUCAGGCGUGCCUGCUCGCUGAUGCCGCUGGGUCAGUGGCGUAUUGUCGGCACCCUGUCCGACCCGUCUUGAAACACGGACCAAGGAGUCUAACAUGUGCGCGAGUCAAAGGCUCUUACGAAACCCCAGGGCGAAAUGAAAGUGAACGUAGGUGAGAUCCGUGCCCCUUGCGGGUGCGGCGCAUCACCGGCCCGUUCUUGUGCCCUUUUUUGUGGCUGCGUGCGGCGCAUGAGCGA
rnacentral:rRNA from 1 species